CCUACGGGAGGCAGCAGUGGGGAAUAUUGGACAAUGGGGGAAACCCUGAUCCAGCGAUGCCGCGUGAGUGAAGAAGGCCUUCGGGUUGUAAAGCUCUUUCAGUGGGGAAGAUAAUGACGGUACCCACAGAAGAAGGACCGGCUAACUUCGUGCCAGCAGCCGCGGUAAUACGAAGGGUCCUAGCGUUGUUCGGAAUUACUGGGCGUAAAGGGUGCGUAGGCGGCUUACUAAGUCAGGUGUGAAAGCCCCAAGCUUAACUUGGGAACUGCACUUGAUACUGGUAGGAUAGAGAUCGGAAGAGGUGAGCGGAAUUCCUAGUGUAGAGGUGAAAUUCGUAGAUAUUAGGAAGAACACCAGUGGCGAAGGCGGCUCACUGGUCCGAUACUGACGCUAAGGCACGAAAGCGUGGGGAGCAAACAGGAUUAGAUACCCUGGUAGUCCACGCCCUAAACGAUGAGUGCUAAAUGUCGGUGGGAAACUAUCGGUGUUGAAGCUAACGCGUUAAGCACUCCGCCUGNGAGUACGGUCGCAGAUAACUACAAUAGAGUAGACGCGNGAGACGUGCCGACGACGACGACGAGGGAGUAGG
rnacentral:rRNA from 1 species